CCUACGGGUGGCAGCAGUGGGGAAUAUUGCACAAUGGGGGAAACCCUGAUGCAGCGACGCCGCGUGGGUGAAGAAGCGCCUCGGCGCGUAAAGCCCUUUCAGCAGGGAAGAAAAUGACGGUACCUGAAGAAGAAGCCCCGGCUAACUACGUGCCAGCAGCCGCGGUAAUACGUAGGGGGCAAGCGUUAUCCGGAUUUACUGGGUGUAAAGGGGGCGCAGACGGCGGUGCAAGUCAGGAGUGAAAGCCCGGGGCCUAACCCCGGGACUGCUCCUGAAACUGGGUGGCUAGAGUGCAGGAGGGGCAGGCGGAAUUCCUGGUGUAGCGGUGAAAUGCGUAGAUAUGAGGAGGAACACCGGUGGCGAAGGCGGCCUGCUGGACUGCAACUGACGUUGAGGCGCGAAAGCGUGGGGAGCAAACAGGAUUAGAUACCCCAGUAGUC
rnacentral:rRNA from 1 species